UUUUAAAUCUUUGUAUAUAAAGUAAUUUUAAAGUAAUAUGAUUUGUACUACUAAUACAUCUAUCGAAAAAGAUGCAAGAGAAAAUUCUUUGUUAUCAUGGCCAAUUUGAAGUUAGGUUAUCACAAGAAAUAUUAGGAAACACAUGCAGGGGAGAGUUGCCGAAAUUGGAACAGCGCCUUAAUUGGACACUUGCAUUUAUUUUUGAAAAAAAAAUGAAUUGGCUUUA